rnacentral:rRNA from 1 species
CAGUCGCCGCGGUAAUACAGAGGGUGCGAGCGUUAAUUGGAUUUACUGGGCGUAAAGCGUGCGUAGGCGGCUUCUUAAGUCGGAUGUGAAAUCCCUGAGCUUAACUUAGGAAUUGCAUUCGAUACUGGUUAGCUAGAGUGUGGGAGAGGAUGGUAGAAUUCCAGGUGUAGCGGUGAAAUGCGUAGAGAUCUGGAGGAAUACCGAUGGCGAAGGCAGCCAUCUGGCCUAACACUGACGCUGAGGUACGAAAGCAUGGGGAGCAAACAGGAUUAGAUACCCGCGUAGUCCCUGUCUCUUAUAA